GUCUGAGUGACGCCUCCUCUGGUCUCUACAGGAUUAAACAGUGAGAGGCUCCACCUGGUGGAACAACCAGGUACUACAGCUAAACUCAAAAACUUGACUAAAACGUCGACACGUCUCCAGAACGACUCAAAAUUAGUCUGAAGUCCUCAAAACGUGUUCAGAUUUUUUUUAAUUGAAUUGUCAAAAAAACAACAACACACACACA